GAACUUUGUACGAUAAGCUUGAGGACCAGAACCUACACUUGGCAUCACAGCUGAGCAAGCACAGGAGUGAUGCUCUUGCCUUUUACAAAGGGAUUGACCAACAAAUCCAAGAGCUAAAGGAAUUUUUACAAGAACUGAACCAUACUGAACUUCAAGGACUGAAGAGGAGUGAAGACCCCAAAAGUGAAAGCAAAGUCAAGGUGCAGAAAGGCACUGAGCAGAGUGAAGAAUUCCCAAAAAGCAACAUUAAAGACUUCCCAGAAGGAAAAUGGCAGCAUCAUUUAGGAUGUAUCCCUGCUGCCUCUGCCUUUGACUUUCAGAUGGAACUUGACAGAGCCAUUGCAGUCCUGGUGAAUGCCCUUUCCCUUUCAUCCUGGAUAGCUGAUGCGGUCAGCUUAUCAGAUCACAUAGCACAGGUUGGUCCAU
rnacentral:lncRNA from 1 species